UGGGAAGAGUGAAAGAGUGGCCUCACAGAGCUCACGACACGCUAUUUCAGAUUUUUUCUUUUCUCUUUUCUAUUUUUAAGACAGGUCUCGCUACAUUGCCCAAGCUGGUCUCAAACUCCUGGGCUCGUGAUCCUCCUGCCUUGGCCUCCCAAAGUGCUGGGAUUAUAGAUGUGAGCCACAGCGCCUGACCAGUUCCCAAUUUCUGAGGUCAUCAAGCCCUCCUUGCAUUUCGUGGCCUACCUUCUGUGCAGGGACCUCUGCUUGGCAGGCUGGCUUGUCUAUGCCCCCAGACGGAGCUGCUGGAAUUACAAGCAGGGCAGGAGACUUCUGCAAGGCGGGGUUGACCUGCUCUCCAAGGCAGUGCCCGUGGGGUGGGCUUAUGAGCUGACUUGCAGAACAGCUGUCCCAGUGAGGCCCCUGGGACUCAUGUGUCUGUCCCCUGGGGCUGCACAUUGCUUGAGUGGCCUGUGAGGUGGCUUGGGAUGGAUUUAGCAGUGGCCACACUGCACUGCUCUGCGCCUCACCACGGCAGCAGGAUGGAACGAGGAGGGAGUGACGAGGGCUCACACCAGCCUCCAGCGGCCAGACAACUUGAUGGUGGUUCCAGGGCCUGUCCAGUCUCUCCAUGGGCACCGGGAGAAUGAGUCUCUCCUUACUUACUCCCAGGCUCCUGCCCCUCCCGCAUCCCGACACCAUGGCUUGUUUUUUCUGGGCUGGCCCAGCCUUUCCCUAGGGUCCUAUCACCUUUGUCCCCUCCACACCCCUUUCUGUGUUUCUAGGAAAAUCGGAGCCUCUCCUCCAUCCUUCUCCUACUCUCCUAGGCAGGGGGAGAGAAGUGACCAGUGGACCCAGCUGGGUACAGGAUGGUAUCUGAAAACUCUUGAGACGUGGGGCAAGAGUUACAGCCGAUCCCUGCCCUCUCCUCAGAAAGAAGGCAAAGGAUGA
rnacentral:lncRNA from 1 species